rnacentral:tRNA from 1 species
GCCCCCUUAGCUCAGGGGAUAGAGCAGCGGUUUCCGGAGCCGCGUUAGCGGAGGUUCGAAUCCUCUAGGGGGUGCCA